rnacentral:lncRNA from 1 species
GCCGACUUCAGCCCCAUAUCUCACAUUCUCUCUCCCUUAGAAAAAUUUCGUCCUCGAAAUUUAAUAUACCUUAGCUUGCAAAAAGGUUCGGAUAUUUUUCCUUCAUCUCAUCCUCCAGUUCCCACGUAGCCUCACGUUCAGAGUGAUUGCUCCACUGGAUCUUAACAUAAGGAAUCGUGCGCCUUCUCAACACUUGUUCCCUUCUAUCAACCACACGUACAGGCUGCUCAGGAUAUGUCAAAUCUUCUCUAAACUGCAAGGGAGCCACUUCUACCACAUGGCUUAUAUCUGGAAUAUACUUUCUUAACAUAGAAGCAUGAAAAAAUAUUAUGAACUCCGGACAGUGAAGGUGGGAGCGCCAAUUUGUAUGCCACAGCUCCUACUCUUUCCAGAAUCUCAAAAAGGCCCACAUAGCG